rnacentral:tRNA from 1 species
GUCGUGUUAGUGUAGUGGUUCAACACAUCAGACCUCCAAUCUGAAGGCAGGAGUUCGAAUCUCCUACACGACA